UGGGGAAUCUUGCGCAAUGGGCGAAAGCCUGACGCAGCGACGCCGCGUGCGGGAAGAAGGCCUUCGGGUUGUAAACCGCUUUCAGGAGGGACGAAGCCACUCGGGUGAAUAGCCCAGAGGGUGACGGUACCUCCAGAAGAAGCCCCGGCUAACUACGUGCCAGCAGCCGCGGUAAUACGUAGGGGGCAAGCGUUGUCCGGAUUCAUUGGGCGUAAAGCGCGUGUAGGCGGCUGAGUAGGUCUGAUGUGAAAACUCGAGGCUCAACCUCGAGACGUCGUCAGAAACCACUCGGCUAGAGUCCGGAAGAGGAGAGUGGAAUUCCUGGUGUAGCGGUGAAAUGCGCAGAUAUCAGGAAGAACACCAAUGGCGAAGGCAGCUCUCUGGGACGGUACUGACGCUG
rnacentral:rRNA from 1 species